UACGUAGGGGGCUAGCGUUGUCCGGAAUCAUUGGGCGUAAAGAGCGUGUAGGCGGCCCGGUAAGUCCGCUGUAAAAGUCAAAGGCUCAACCUUUGAAUGUCAGUGGAUACUGUCGAGCUCGAGUCCGGAAGAGGCGAGUGGAAUUCCUGGUGUAGCGGUGAAAUGCGCAGAUAUCAGGAGGAACACCAAUGGCGAAGGCAGCUCGCUGGGACGUGACUGACGCUGAGACGCGAAAGCGUGGGGAGCAAACAGG
rnacentral:rRNA from 1 species